AGUCGAGGGGCAGCAUGGUCUUAGCUUGCUAAGGCUGAUGGCGACCGGCGCACGGGUGAGUAACACGUAUCCAACCUGCCGUCUACUCUUGGCCAGCCUUCUGAAAGGAAGAUUAAUCCAGGAUGGGAUCAUGAGUUCACAUGUCCGCAUGAUUAAAGGUAUUUUCCGGUAGACGAUGGGGAUGCGUUCCAUUAGAUAGUAGGCGGGGUAACGGCCCACCUAGUCAACGAUGGAUAGGGGUUCUGAGAGGAAGGUCCCCCACAUUGGAACUGAGACACGGUCCAAACUCCUACGGGAGGCAGCAGUGAGGAAUAUUGGUCAAUGGGCGAUGGCCUGAACCAGCCAAGUAGCGUGAAGGAUGACUGCCCUAUGGGUUGUAAACUUCUUUUAUAAAGGAAUAAAGUCGGGUAUGCAUACCCGUUUGCAUGUACUUUAUGAAUAAGGAUCGGCUAACUCCGUGCCAGCAGCCGCGGUAAUACGGAGGAUCCGAGCGUUAUCCGGAUUUAUUGGGUUUAAAGGGAGCGUAGAUGGAUGUUUAAGUCAGUUGUGAAAGUUUGCGGCUCAACCGUAAAAUUGCAGUUGAUACUGGAUGUCUUGAGUGCAGUUGAGGCAGGCGGAAUUCGUGGUGUAGCGGUGAAAUGCUUAGAUAUCACGAAGAACUCCGAUUGCGAAGGCAGCCUGCUAAGCUGCAACUGACAUUGAGGCUCGAAAGUGUGGGUAUCAAACAGGAUUAGAUACCCUGGUAGUCCA
rnacentral:rRNA from 1 species